GCGGCGCUGGCCAGACCGAGGCUGCGGGCGGAGUCACGUGACCUAGGUGCCACGUGCGCCUGCUCCCUCGGGCGGGGUUGACCCCCCUCCCCUCCCCUCCCCCACACCCACACCCUCCAAGCCAUUGCCCCCAAGCCCUGAGGGCAGAGUGGGGGCAGGUGUCCCCUGUAGCCCUGAGGGCCAGAAGCGGAGGCGCUCAUCUCACUGCCUGGCCCUGCAGCAGGUGUCCCCAGGAAAACUGCCCCGCACAGGGGGGCUGAUGGUGCCAGAGGGGCCGAGGGGAUUUAGGUUUCAGCGACUGCAGCUGCAGCGUAGGGCCUCGCAAGACGAGGUGCCUGUAAACAAGGGAAAAAACAAACCCCUGGACGUCUUUGUUUUAAUAGGACCAAAAAAUAUAGAUGUCGACGGCUCCACAGUUAUUAUGCGUGUUUGUGCAGAAAUAACGAUUCGUCGUGAAGUGUCGUGGAAAUCCGUUUUCGUGGAUUAUUUUUAUCGUACGGGGCCUCUCGAGAUGGACGAAGCUUAGGGCCUCGGCGUGUCCUAAUCGGUGGGGGUCUCGCCAAGCCAGACCGCAGGGUUCAAGGGCCACGAUUAGGAAGACGAGAGACACCGGUGCUCGUAAGGGACCGAGUUCCUGAUGUCUUGGCUGAACGGCUCCCUAGGAAGAGCAUGGAUGCCCACCUGAUACGAGCCUUGUAUUGACCGAGAGCUCCAGAUCCUUAUACCAGGCAGAGCUGUCCCCUCAGGGACAGGCGUCCGGUGCCCAUUAAAACAGAGCGCACAGAGCCUGUCUACAUCCCCACGGAGCCGGGCUUUCCACCCGUAUCACAACAGAGAAGGACGCUCUAGGUUUCGACAGCACGCAGUACCCAGACCACCGGCAAGGCCCUACAUCACUGGGCCCGAUAGCACAGUGGUUCUCAAACACGUGUUUUUUGCAGACCACUUGAAAAUUGCUGAGGGUCUUGGUGGACCACUUAAUUUGUUUGUUCUACAAAUCAAAGCGCACAACUCAUACUUUAAUAUCAGUAGUCUUACCUUACAAGUACAGCUAGCCUUGAUUGUUCGGCAACCUUUCUGCAGACCACCUGAGUGGAGCUCACGGACCGCAGCUUGACAACCUCUGCUAUAGCAGCUUUAAAGACAUUUUCUCUCUUUCAGUGUUAAAUCAGUGUCAUAGCAUGCAAAGCAGAGAUGAAUGGUCUGUGCUGUUUAUAUGAAAAACGUGUGCAUGCACACAUAAGCACCCAUACACUUUUGUCCAACUUCCCCUACUGUAGCAUGAGAGGCAGUCACUAAAAUACAAGCAAAUAUGAAUGAGGUAGAUAGGAACUGAACAAAUAACUUUUCAAAAUCAGGUUUGACAUUGAUUGUGGUUUUCUGGCACGGAAACCUGACUAUUUAGGUUUUUAGAAGGUUGUCAGUAACUUGGCCCUAAAUACAGUCUAUACUCAAACAUAGCAAGGCUAAAUUUGAAUACAUUUAAGGAUAGCCUUGAAAGCUACAGGUCAGAAACUUUUGUGAUGAGAAAAUUUAUCUAACCCCUCUAUCGGUCCCAUUAAAGUCUGUGGAAAAGAUAAAACCAAGAAAAAUAGGGCAUGAAGAAAUAUUUAAAAUUAGUUCAGAGCCAGCCAGAGCAAAAUAUUCUGGACAAGAGAAAUCUGAUAAAUGGGGAGAGAAUAUAACCAAUGCUGGAGAGCAUUCCCUUUUUUGGUUCUGGGGUCUCAGUCAUCACAACAUUUUGGAUCUAGUAGUUGCCACACGCACAUUUUCACAAACGUGAAACUGGCACCCAGUGUCUUCAGUUCAUCUUUUGUUUUUCGUUGUCACGCAGUCUCACAGCAAGACACUCCUGCCAUGUUGCGCUAAAGAUUUUAACGGAUGGAAAACUUUGAUUCUAAUACUCCACUUUGUAUUCAGCAGAAGUUUUGUAUUGUGUUUUAAAGAUGUACAGAGGAAAAAGACUAUCACACUCUGAUAAAGUAGGGACUGGCAUGUGGGGACCAUUAUUUGUGGGGACAAUCACUAUGAUAAUGUGGAGAAACUGCAACAAAACAAAGCACCAUAAAUGACACCCUGAAAAGGAAAGGCAUAAUAAUAAACUCAUGCACUUUCAUUAGAAUCAGCAUAGCCAUAAAUUAGUGCUGCAGCAGAUUUUUGUAUUAAAAUGAAUUACCUCAGCAGCUUUUGGAUGACUACAGACUACAAUAUUAGAAGAUCAGUGAAAAGAAAUAUGACAGCUUCCACUGGUAAUGCCCCAGCAAGCUUGCUUAUUCAGCUGAGAACAUACAGCUUCUGGCCCUCAUAAAUAUGCCAGUAAGGCAGCUUAGAAAAAAGUCUCAUCUAAUGUGUUAUCUGAGAACAAGAGUGUGAUUAGAGGUUGGUGGCAGUGAGUGGGGGUGUAGGGAAGUUUAGUAGGGGGCACCGCGGCAUUUACAACACUUGAAGCGUUGAUGACACAAGCAGUCAGAAAUGAUGGAAACUGGAUACAAAGGGCAGCUGGGAACAGCUCGUGUCAACGGGAAGAAUAUUGGUGGCAACUGGCAACUCCUGUAGCAGCUGAAGAACAAACCAUGGCAGUUGGUGACCGAGUAGGAGGAACACGCAUGAUAUAUCUGAUAGCAUUUGGAGAGAAAGCUUUGGCAGCUGUUAACAGUGGAACCUGUGAGAUACCUCUGGCUGCACGGGACAGAGUUAGUGGGACAUUUAUGGUAACUGGUGGGAAACCUGUGAGAGGGGUAUCUGUGAAAGGUGGAAAGAAGCCUGUUGCAGUUUCAGCUAGAGGACGAAUGUGGCCACUGUUGCCGAUCUGUUGGAGGAACACCUGUGGUAGCCAAAGAGCAUGUCAGAGUAUGUCAGGUGGCAUUUCAUGGUAGGAGUGGAUGGGAAAGCUCUGGUGACAGUGGUAGCUGAACACAGGAGAUGAAUGGAUGAAUGGUGGCAAUUGGGGAGGGAAGUCUAUGGCAGCUGGUAAGUCAUUGAUGGUAGUUGGGGACAACUUCAGCAACUAGUGGCAAUUGGAAGGAUAUCUCCGGAGUUAUUAGUAUUUAAUAUUAAUGAAUAGGGCUUAGACAUUGGAGAAGGGGCAGAGAAGAAAAACCAUGACAGCUAGAGGGAAGAGAAAGGGUACAUCCAAACUGGUGAAUGCACAUGGCAGUAGCCUUAAUUUUCUCAAGGUUUCUGUGUAGGUGUUCUGUGCAGAGGACAUUCCAGUUUUCUGAUCCUCUGUCCUCUAUUGAUAUGAGACCUGAUGCCUUUAUGUCCUCUAUUUCUCUCUUCAAGAGAAAAAUUGGAAAAAAAUUCUCUUCAAGAGAAAAAUAGAGGACAUAAAGGUUUCUGGUUUCGUAUCAAUAGAGGACAGAGGACAACCGGACUGUCCUCUAUGAUGGCCACCCUAGAAGCAAGUAGAGAGAGAAGAAAAUUAAAGAGGGAGUUGAAGAGACAAUCAGAAGAAAAUAAAAAGAAAUGGAAUAAGGGAGAAAAAAGCAAGAACAUAUACCUACAUUUACAGUUGAUUAGCUUGGGAAAUGUACGUUCAGUUUAUAUUUCAUGGUGUCCCAUAAUCUAUGUAAAAGAGGGAUGAUCCUUUGGGAGAGGAGUAUUGCUUUGAAAUUCCAGGCCAGGGCAGCAGGUAGCCUUUUUUCUUUUUAUUCCUAAAUAAGUGGGGGAAAUGACAACACACAGUGCUCUGUCUUUUCUCUGUUUCAAUUUUGAGACUUUUAUUUUCAAAACCCUACAUAUCACCCCCACAAUUUAAAUUUAGUCAGCUCCAUUCUUGGAGUUAAAGGAAGAGUUUUAAGCUUAUGUGGUGUUGGCCUUCUGCACUCCUAUUGAAUGCCUUAUCUGUGUGGGUGGUGGUAUUGGCAUACACCUGCAUCACCCACAUGCAUUUAUCACCAAGUCAGGGUGUGUUACACUAGAUAAAAUACCACAUUUUACAAAAGAGAUUGCGGCAGACAACGGCAGACAAUUGAAGUGACUUGCACGAAGGUUCCCAAUCUCAGAGUUAUGACAAUAACUCAGGCAUUUCUAGCAGUUAUUUCUGUGUUCAAACCAUUAGAAAUAAUACUGGUAAUGUCAUUAGUGAAAAGCUCUGUGCGACAUAUUCGGACAACAUGCUGUAUAAUAUCACAUGGGUUUCCUGUCGCUAUGGAGCAUGCCAUAUUGGGGUAUACAUUUGAUCUAUAGAAAUAAAUAUAAAAAUACCAUUCCAAAAUUCCCUUGUAUUCUAAUAAGUCAGACACCAUACUUAUCACCAUGGUGUCUGAGUGUCUUUAAAGGAGAACAGAAUCACAGCAAUUUUUGUACAAACCCUAAACCAUGCUAAAAUAAUAUAAUCAAGACAUUAUAAGAUUAAAUACAGCUAACUAAUAUUAAUACAUGCGUGCAUGUGCGCAUACACACAAUUAAAUAAGAAGACAUGGUAAAUAAACUACCUAACGGAGUGCAUGAAAACAGUUAAGUUUGACAAACAGACAAACAACCCCUCCAAAUAUGUGCAUUAUUUUAUUUGGACAAUAGAUCCGUAAGCAGAGCUUAUGUAAUGUGCCAGCAGUUUUUUCAGUGCACAAUUGGUCCCAGAAGCUGCUGAUUUUGCUAAGCUUUCUGAGUGUCUGCCCUCCUCACUGUCCACCUUUAAUUUUUAUUUUUUUUGCAGAAACAAGAUAAAUCAAAUGUCAGGUUCAUGAUAGCAGGAACAAACAUGAGAUCCAUGCUAAGAGUCCAGUUCUCCACUUCUCUGAAGUUGUCUGGAAUCCCUUUAUCCCAGCAAAGGAAUAUAUAUUUGACCAAAAAAAGUAAAAAAAAAACUUCUUGAAUUUAUAUAACACCUUUCAUCAGAGAAUCUCAAAGUGCCUUUAAAAAUUAAUCAAUGCAUCCUCACACCAUCACUCAAAGGUGCUUAUUUUAUAUAGCAGGAAAAUUACAUGCUCAACAUCAAAGACCAAGCCAGCAGAAAGACUAAGAAUACAACCUAGGGAGUCCUGACUCAGUCCUCAGUUUGAAACUGUGAACGACAGCUAUUGCAGAAGGGUGCAGUAUUACUGAGAAGCAUGAUCAUCUUUUAUGCUGAGGCUGUUCUGAAUCAGGUGGGUCAGGCCUGACUGAGCUAUUUUAGAUAUCUGAUGGCUAUUUUUCAUAGUUCAGGAGCUGAAGGUAAUUUUAAAAGAUCCUUUUUCAAGAAGAUGGAAUGUUUUGGCUAUAAAAGACCAAGUCAGCUGAACCUCAGUUGAGCAGCAACAUAAGCUGAAGAAUGAUGACCCAAGGCCCAGAGCCACAAAACUAUUUAGGCAUCUAACUCAGACUCUUAGUUAAAUCAAUAGGAGGAUCUGGGCCCAAGUCUAGAUGCAAUUAGGGUAGAUAUGGCUACCUUCUAAAGGACAGUAGGAUGUUGAGCCUACACCUGAAUCACCUAAGUUGAAGUUAGGAAACAUAAUAAUUAUUGUGCGUUGUGCUGCAUGAUUUGCUUUACUACCCCAAAUUUGCUUUGCCUGAAAUAGAUUGAUGUGACAGGGCUUCUCUGAAGCAAGCAGCUUGACUCUCAGUACAUUUACGCUCCGUUCACACAUGCAUUGAUUUAAGAGAAGUUAGGAUGGGGCCAGGAGUUCAUGAAGUUCUCACCAAAAGAAAGUGAGGAAGAAGACAAGAGUAAAAGAGUUAUUGAUCUGGCUAUCACCUUCGUAGAUAUGGGGCCCCAGGUUGAAUGCUGAAAGGAGGUUGAAAGACAAGAAAGCAAAGAAGGUCAGAAGUUUAUCUCUGCAGAAGGUUAGUCUGUAAAUAAAAUUCUGGGAUUGAAGUCUGGGAUGACAAGAAUCCAUAUAUUCAGCUGCGUGCUAUUUUGUCAGUAGUUUUGCUCCUUCUUUAAGGUGGUUGAACUACGUAGCAGUAGUGAUAAUGAGUCCUCUAAAACCAUUUCCCUGUGGACAAGUGUCUGGAUUAUAAAUCCACCAUGACACUUGAUGCUAAUUAGUGACUCUGUCAAUAAUCUCAGGAGAGAGGCUAAAGGAUUAAUGAGAAUGGAGAUUUGAGAAUCCUCUCCUUUUGAGUUGUUCUUCCAAAACAAAAUAAAAAAACAUAUGGGUGUGCACAUAUUGUUCUUUUCAUAAUAUAUUAAUCUUCAUUGGAACUUCAGUAUUCUGUGUAAAGAGUUUCUUUCAAGAGCAAGUAGACAGAUACUUGGCUGGGAUGAUUUAGUCCUAUGAUCCUACCUCAGACCACAUUUUUGAGCAAGAUCAGGCACAGCUGAGUUGAAGACUAACCGUCACCAAAACAAUGAACUAAGGGAUGAACUCAGAACAUGUACCCAUUCCUCCUCUUAAAACACAGCAGGUAAUGUCAUAAUAAAGCUAGAAGGAAAAGAAAGUACUUUGUUAAAUGUUUCAGUACUUGAUUAGCCAUAAUUCCCUACAGCGGGCUUAAAGCUUGAGUCACCAGCUUUGUAAAUCACUAGCAGAUUCUGCUUCUUUUGGUUCAGCUGGGGAGCGUAUCAUCUUACCUGGAACUAGAUGGCAUGAUCAGUCUCUUGAUGCACAACAUCUGUUGCAAGUUCUAUAGCUUGAGUUGUUCUUGGAUUUGUUGUAACAGGGUUGUUUCAAAACCACCUUCAAGGAUGUGAAUAUUGGCUCGUUCUUUAGCUGCUAAGGUGUUUGCUUUCUUUCAAGGUUUUGUCUUUGGCUUAUUAGGAUAAUGUAGCUGAUCUCUAAAUAGAUCUUUGGUUUAAUUUGUUUUUUCUGUUAAAGGAUACUGGGAGUAGCAAUAGCUCCUUAAUAUUAUAGCAACCAUGGGAUUUUAGGGUUAUCUCAGAGGGUAGGUUGAUUACUGUCAAAGAUGUUCUUUUUUUUAAAUUUUUUUAUUUCCUACCUUUUUAGAAGUUAAAUUACCAGAGAUAACAUCUAGUGAGAAUUAUGUUUUUCCCCUGUUCUUCCAACCACUCAGUUUUGAUUAUUUCUUUUUAACAGAGUAAUAUUAUUUUACAUGUGCAUUUGCAAGUUGUGACCUUUAUUACUUCAAAUUUCUGCACUGUUGCACUCAAUACCUCUCACUUUACUGUUAUACAGUGGCUGGACAAUAGUCUUAGUGGUUAGUGACCAUUAAUAAAAUGCAGUCUUAUCCUGAAAAAUAGGUCUAAAAUAGCAUGAGAUUUAGUAUUAAUAUUUUCUUACCAACUUCCAUAUCAAGCUUGCUCAUCUUACAAGUAAGAUGAUGUUUGUGUUUUUUCCUAACAAACAACUCCCACAAAUUCACCAAGAUUCUCUCUCUUCAUCAUCAGUAAUUACUGUGCCCACAAUGACAUCUCUGCCAACCUACUAACAACUAAUUGGGAUGCACAGUUGUCAUUGAGGCAUCAUAAGUAAACAAUGAGGUUUCUCAGGUGUAGCUGAGAGCAGAAAUUGGCCUCAAGAAUCUUAAUUAUCGGUGGUGAUGAUGAGUUGGAAAAGACCUCAUUCACCAUAAGAUGGUGAAUUGGGAAAAAGGCCAGAUCUAAAGAAGAGAGACUUGGGUGUCUUGGUCUAAAAUUGCAGUCCAAAAAAACCUUGCUCAGUAAUCGCAUCUCCCUGGAAGUGCCUAAACCUCUCGUUUGGCUGGAAAGAUCCCUAUGUGUCUGUCAUUCUGCCUCCUGUGCAUGCCCAGAACUGUCCUGCCCUGGGGAGCUAUCUAGCUCCUACCUCAGCUACAACAGGACCCAGGAGCUAGGUGGAGUGGUGCUUAAGUAUCUUAUGCUGAGACCAAACCUAAUGCACAGCGAUUAGGCCUCUUAUAAAAUGCAGUUUUGGCUGCUUUCUUUUUAACUAUAGCAGCAGGAGGCAGUAGUGCUGGUGUUCUUCUUCUACAUAUUAGCCUAGUAGUAGCUAGAGCCGUCACCCAGGAAGUGAGCGAUCCCAGUCCAAUUUCUUCACGCGUCUGGGAGACUGAUACCUCCCAGGAGAGUGCCCUAACCUGUCCGGCUGGGUUGGGGCUCUCUCAACAUCUGUUACAGCUGGGGCAUGGGGCAGAUAGGAAUGCAAGACACAUGGGACCAGAAAGACAGCAAGCAAAAAGAGUCUUAGUAGCAUAGCAGUCACUGUCUUUUGAAAACCAAAUAGUGAGCUCUGUUCUGUUGGUUUGAAAGAACAACUGUAAACAUGCUCAGAAGUGGGUUUUGAAUCCUGAGUGGGUGGAAGAACCUGACUCAGGCCCCUACACUCCAGAUGGGGGUGGGAAUUCAGAAACACCUCUGUGCAUUUUGUUUCCUAUUUGCUAGCUCUGGGCCAUACCCAGCUCAGCAUGAACAUUUUCUGAAUUGCCUUUCUUAGAUGCCUAUCUUCUGUAGCAUGGGUUUGUUAUUUCACUCAGAGAGCCAUCACUGCCUCACCAACAUCGUAGGUGCCCGGUCUUUUAGUAGAGUCAGCACAAACGCUCUCAUUCUCUGCCACCUGAAAGAAAUCUGAUGGUGUAACUUGCAAUGAAUUGGAAUCUCACCAGGACAUGGCACGGAGCAACUUUUCAGGCUCAGCCAUGCUGUAAUAAGAGCAUAGUAUUUCCUGUUGAUCAUCACAGGGCAAGGGUUACAUUGAUUUUGCUGUCUCAUCAAAGUAGGUGACACAUCACUCCACCCAAUUAUAAAGGAGAUGGGUGUGGCUCUCUUAGAAGUCAGUCCUUUUAAUGUGGGUGAAGAAAUCUUGCAAUGAAAUGUCUAGGAGCAGCCAAGUUUGAGGGGGGUUGAGCUGAACUUUGUAAUGGUAUUGUUUUUAAUAUAGCCAAGCCUAAGGAAAAGCAGGCCAGUGACAUUGCUUUUGUGCCGCCAUGGAAGAUCCUGAAGAGCUGAUGAAACUGUUUGGCAUUGUACGCACGCCAAACGUUGACAAACGCUUGGGAUCAAUAUAUUCCACUUAAAAUGUUCCUGUCAGAAUCAUCCUUCUGUGUCUUCAGGUACAAGGCUACGACCAUGGCGUAUUGAACAAUAAGAUCUUGGGGGCAGAGAUUCUUGUAUUCUGUGCUUGUGCGAAGCCUGCACAAUAAGGCCCUCUCCCAUCUGGGGCCUCUAGGUGCUACUGUAAUACAAAUAAUAAAAUGAAUAUCUGAUUUCUCAGAA